rfam:Globodera pallida, Lindley, WGS project CBXT01000000 data, contig: pathogens_Gpal_scaffold_943_contig_1
GCAAAAAUGGUCGUGGCGGGCCCUUGUGACCCAGCGAGUUGGGGGCGAAGGCGGACGGGGGGCGGGCGUGUGCCGACCGAAUGUCGCGACCAAGGGCCGCGUCGGCAGGGGCGGCCCGGGGGAGCCGGGGCCGUCCCGGGCGCAUAAUGCGGAGAGUAACGGCUCAGGCCCGAAAGGGAGCAGGCAAAAUCUCCCGCGCGGUCACAGUGGCUCCGAUAGCACUCGCGAGCAUGCCACCCAAACGCCCUCCGCCAAGCUUUUU